UACGUAGGGGGAGAGCGUUGUCCGGAGUUACUGGGCGUAAAGCGCACGCAGGCGGUCUGCUAAGUUUGGAGUGACAGUUGGUGGCUUAACUGCCAAAGUGCUUCGAAAACUGACAGACUUGAGGGCUUCAGAGGGACACGGAAUUCCGGGUGGAGUGGUGAAAUGCGUAGAGAUCCGGAGGAACACCAAAGGCGAAGGCAGUGUCCUGGGGAGUACCUGACGCUCAGGUGCGAAAGCCAGGGGAGCGAACGGG
rnacentral:rRNA from 1 species